rnacentral:rRNA from 1 species
UGGUAGUGUAUUGGACUACCAUGGCUAUCACGGGUAACGGAGAAUUAGGGUUCGGUUCCGGAGAGGGAGCCUGAGAAACGGCUACCACAUCUAAGGAUAGCAGCAGGCGCGAAAAUUGCCCAAUCCCGAUUCGGGGAGGCAGUGACAAGAAAUAACAACCCAGGGAUUAUCCCAGGGAUUGUAAUGAGAAAAAUGUAAAGAUCUUAUCGAGUAUCAACUGGAGGGCAAGUUUUGGUGCCAGCAGCCGCGGUAAUUCCAACUCCAGUAGCGUAUAUUAAAGUUGCUGCAGUUAAAAAGCUCGUAGUUGAAAUUCUGCUCCGGCAGUUCAAUUUCCAAUAGGUUAUUGACACUCCGGGCAUCAGUCUGCAAUCUUUUUCACGGCAUUCAUUUGUCGGGCUAGGGAGCAGACGCUUUACCUUGAGAAAAUUAGAGUGUUCCAGGCAGGCUUCAGCCCGAAUACAUUAGCAUGGAAUAAUAGAAUAGGACUAGAGACUAUUUAUUGGUUUAAGGCUCUAGUAAUGAUUAAUAGGAACAGUCGGGGGCAUUAGUACUUAACAGUCAGAGGUGAAAUUCUAGGAUUUGUUAAAGACUAACUAAUGCGAAAGCAUUUGCCAAGCAUGUUUUCAUUAAUCAAGAACGAAAGCUAAGGGAUCAAAGACGAUCAGA